GGUGAAAUGGCUGAGUAUAGGCAAUAAAUUGUAAAUUUAUGGACGGAAGAAUUUCCUUUUACCA
rnacentral:tRNA from 1 species